rnacentral:rRNA from 1 species
AGCGUAGGCGGGAUUGCAAGUCAGAUGUGAAAACUAUGGGCUUAACCCAUAGACUGCAUUUGAAACUGUAGUUCUUGAGUGAAGUAGAGGUAAGCGGAAUUCCUGGUGUAGCGGUGAAAUGCGUAGAUAUCAGGAAGAACAUCGGUGGCGAAGGCGGCUUACUGGGCUUUUACUGACGCUGAGGCUCGAAAGCGUGGGAGCAAACA